rnacentral:rRNA from 1 species
UACAGAGGUCUCAAGCGUUGUUCGGAUUCAUUGGGCGUAAAGGGUGCGUAGGCGGCGCGGUAAGUCGGGUGUGAAAUCUUGGAGCUUAACUCCGAAACUGCAUUCGAUACUGCCGUGCUUGAGGACUGGAGAGGAGACUGGAAUUUACGGUGUAGCGGUGAAAUGCGUAGAUAUCGUAAGGAAGACCAGUGGCGAAGGCGGGUCUCUGGACAGUUCCUGACGCUGAGGCAACGAAGGCCCAGGGGAGCAAACGGG